AGAGUUUGAUUCUGGCUCAGAACGAACGCUGGCGGCGUGCCUAACACAUGCAAGUUGGACGAGAAAGUGGGCUUCGGCCCGUUAGUAAAGUGGCAGAUGGGUGAGUAAUAUGUGGGUAACCUGUCCGGAGGUGGGGGAUAACCCUCCGAAAGGAGGGUUAAUACCGCAUAACAUCCGAGAGGCUUCGGCCUCGUAGAUCAAAGCUGGCCUCUACUUGUAAGCUAGCGCCACCGGAGGGGCCCGCGCCCUAUUAGUUUGUUGGUGAGGUAAUGGCUCACCAAGGUUAUGAUGGGUAGCCGGCCUGAGAGGGUGAUUGGCUAUAUUGGAAUUGAGAUAUGGUCCAGACUCCUACGGGAGGCAGCAGUGAGGAAUUUUGCGCAAUGGGGGAAACCCUGACGCAGCGACGCCGCGUGGAGGACGAAGGCCUUCGGGUCGUAAACUCCUGUCAAGUGGGACGAAUGCCGUCGGGAUGAAUAAGCCCGGCAGUUGACGGUACCACUGAAGGAAGCCCCGGCCAACUCCGUGUUAGUAGCCGCGGUAAUACGGAGGGGGCUAGCGUUGUUCGGAAUUAUUGGGCGUAAAGGGCGCGUAGGCGGCCUGGUAAGUCGGGCGUGAAAUCCCGCGGCUCAACCGCGGAACUGCGCUCGAAACUGCUGGGCUUGAGUCCCGAGAGGGUGGCGGAAUUCCCAGUGUAGCGGUGAAAUGCGUAGAUAUUGGGAGGAACACCAGUGGCGAAGGCGGUCACCUGGACGGGUACUGACGCUGAGGCGCGAAAGCGUGGGGAGCAAACAGGAUUAGAUAUUUUGGUAGUUUAUGCUGUAAACGAUGGGCACUUGGUGGUGCGGGUAUCGACCCCUGCAGUGUCGAAGCUAACGCAUUAAGUGCCCCGCCUGGGGAGCACGGUCGCAAGGCUGAAACUCAAAGGAAUUGACGGGGGCCCGCACAAGCGGUGGAGCAUGUGGUUUAAUUCGACGCAACGCGAAGAACCUUACCUGGGUUUGAAUUGCGGCGGACAGCUCCAGAGAUGGAGUUUCCUUUCGGGUCGUCGUGAAGGUGCUGCAUGGCUGUCGUCAGCUCGUGUCGUGAGAUGUUGGGUUAAGUCCCGUAAUGAGUGCAACCCCUACUCCUAGUUGCCAGCGGUUCGGCCGGGAACUCUAGGGGGACUGCCGGUGAUAAACCGGAGGAAGGUGGGGAUGACGUCAAGUCAUCAUGGCCUUUAUGUCCAGGGCUACACACGUGCUACAAUGGGCGAUACAAAGGGCUGCGAUGCCGCGAGGUGGAGCCAAUCCCAAAAAGUCGCCCUCAGUUCGGAUUGCAGUCUGCAACUCGACUGCAUGAAGGUGGAAUCGCUAGUAAUCGCGGAUCAGCAUGCCGCGGUGAAUACGUUCCCGGGCCUUGUACACACCGCCCGUCACAUCACGAAAGUUGGUUGCUCUUGAAGUCGCCGAGCGAACCGCAAGGAAGCAGGUGCCGACGGAGUGGCUGGCGAUUGGGGUGAAGUCGUAACAAGGUA
rnacentral:rRNA from 1 species